UGGGUUAGUCGGGACCUAAGGAGAGACCGAAAGGUGUAUCCGAUGGACAACAGGUUGAUAUUCCUGUACUAGAGUAUAUAGUGAUGGAGGGACGCAGUAGGCUAACUAAACCAGACGAUUGGAAGUGUCUGGCCAAGCAGUGAGGUGUGAUAUGAGUUAAAUGCUUAUAUCUCUAACAUUGAGCUGUGAUGGGGAGCGAAGUUUAGUAGCGAAGUUAGUGAUGUCACACUGCCGAGAAAAGCUUCUAGCGUUAAUUAUACUCUACCCGUACCGCAAACCGACACAGGUAGUCGAGGCGAGUAGCCUCAGGUGAGCGAGAGAACUCUCGUUAAG
rnacentral:rRNA from 1 species